AUUGAACGCUGGCGGCAGGCCUAACACAUGCAAGUCGAACGAGUGGCGGACGGGUGAGUAAUGUCUGGGAAACUGCCUGAUGGAGGGGGCUAACUACUGGAAACGGUAGCUAAUCCCGCAUACCAUCAGAUGGGCCCAGAUGGGAUUAGCUAGUUGGUGGGGUAACGGCUCACCAAGGCGACGAUCCCUAGCUGGUCUGCAAGGAUGACCGGCAACACGGGGACUGGGACACGGUCCAGACUCCUACGGGAGGCAGCAGUGGGGAAUAUUGCACAAUGGGCGCAAGCCGGAUGCAGCCAUGCCGCGUGGAUGAAGAAGGCCUUCGGGUUGUAAAGUACUUUCAGCGGGGAGGCGUUACCCGCAGAAGAAGCACCGGCUAACUCAGUGCCAGCAGCCGCGGUAAUAC
rnacentral:rRNA from 1 species